rnacentral:lncRNA from 1 species
UGAUCGGGCAGUCAGUUCUGGGGCUCUUCCGCGUUAGCACAGUCUCGAAGGUGCCGGCCCAUGCGUCCCUCUUGGUCAGGAACUCCUUGAGAUUGAAGAUCUUCUUCACGGUGGCCGGAAUGGAGGAGUGCUCGUACUGGGAGGAGGGGUACGGCCCCGACGGCUCGUGAAGCACUGAACCAACGAGUAAGAAAACAGGUUUGACUGAGAAAACUUUGACUAGGCGAACGAGAGUCAGCUGAUCAUAUCCAGUUUGAUCUCGUCGUCUUCUGGCGGUUGCGGCGGUUCUAGGGUUUUUACCUGCUCCCUUCUCGAUCCAUGGGGAGAUGAGGAUGGUGGGGACGCGGACGCCCAGCCGGUCAAAGCGGAAGUUGAAGGGCUCGGGGCCGACGAUGUCGUCGGGGCUGGGGACGUUGACCGGCGGGGGCACGUGGUCGAAGAAGCCGCCGUGCUCGUCGUAGGUGAUGACGAAGAGGAUCUCGUUCCACUGGGGGCUUGAUCGGAGCGCCUC